UUUAUGAAGAGUUUGAUCAUGGCUCAGAUUGAACGCUGGCGGCAGGCCUAAUACAUGCAAGUCGAACGGUAACAGGGAGGAAGCUUGCUUCCUUUGCUGACGAGUGGCGGACGGGUGAGUAAGACCUGGGAAACUGCCUGAUAGAGGGGGACAACAUCUGGAAACGGAUGCUAAUACCGCAUGAACCCUGAGGGGGAAAGACGAAAGUCGCUAUCAGAUGUGCCCAGGAGGGAUUAGCUGGUAGGUGAGGCAACGGCUCACCUAGGCGACGAUCUCUAGCUGGUCUGAGAGGAUGAUCAGCCACAUUGGGAC
rnacentral:rRNA from 1 species